rnacentral:rRNA from 1 species
UACGGGGGGAGCAAGCGUUGUUCGGAUUUACUGGGCGUAAAGGGCGCGUAGGCGGUCAGCACAAGUCAGUUGUGAAAUCUCCGGGCUUAACUCGGAAAGGUCAACUGAUACUGUGCGACUAGAGUGCAGAAGGGGCAACUGGAAUUCUCGGUGUAGCGGUGAAAUGCGUAGAUAUCUGGAGGAACACCGGUGGCGAAGGCGGCGUUCUGGACUGCAACUGACACUGUAAAACGAAAGCCAGGGGAGCAAACGGG